CAGAUCCUUAAUUUUUUUUUUCUUUUUAUCAUUGUUGCCGUCAGCUUUAGGCAUAUGUAAAAGGUUGGCAGGCACCAGCAUUCCUAACGAUAUAUUGAUGUUUUGUAGGAAGUUGACCAUUAGUAAGAAAAUUCCGACUUGCCCUCAGCUGAAGCUUUUGGCCAUUGAUUUAAUUUCAAAGUUUGCUGUUCGAUUCCAGGAACAAUUUGAACCUUGGGCUUCCAGGGUAAUUGGUUUGGUUUGCAGCUAUAUACGCAGACAUAGAGAGACAUUUCCCUGCGACUAAUUACGACUUCCAAUGAUUAGGUUUCUCCUAUUUUGACCCGCUUUCUCAGUAGUAGUGUCGACGACGACCUUGAUGCUAAAAUGGCAUCUGUUAAGGCCCUUCCAAGCGUGCUGCUCUCGUGCGAACAUAGAAAAGAGUCACAAAGAGCUUUGAUUAACUUCACUGUUCGAGCUCUGGUCAAAGCCUUGGAAGAGGAAAUCGAAAGAUCGAAGGGUAUAGUGAUGAUAAAAAGCCUCAAUGCAUGCAUUGCGAUAUCUGGAUCAGUUUUUAGUGAGGAGGCAAUCAAGCAGAUUGCUGAUCACAUAUACCAAGUACUCUCUCAGGAGUCAUUUGCCGAUCUACAAAAUGAAGCUGGAGGAGGAGCAUCGGCUCCUGACGCGAGGGAUAAACUGGAACAAGAGGAGGAAUUAGUUCAAGGUGCAAACUGCUUUGUGACAAUGAUCAAUACAUUGAAGUCUGCGUUCUUAACUCAUGUUGACGAGCUUCUUCCAGCAGUUGAAGCGCUGUGGGUAUCGUGACACAUAUGCUCAAGUCGUCAUACACGCUUGUUACUCAGAAAGUCCCCAGCUUCAAAGGGAAGCUGCGCGUGGAAUCGGUUUGUGUGCUACGCGUAGAGGACUUGUAUCCAACUUUGAUGCACCCGGUAACCGCCUUUCACUCUUACCUGCAGGACAGAAGGGAAGUAAUACCUGAGUAAAUAUUGAACAUGUAUGAGUGGUGAAUUUAAUUUGUGCAGCGGCUAUCGACAGCCUAUAUUAUGUAAUAGAAAGCGGAACUGAAUCGGAGAGGACAAUGACAUAUGAUGCCGUUGUUUCAGCUUUGGGCAAAAUAUGUGGUUCCAGCCUGGCUAAACUUCUUACCAUUGAGGAACGACUUCAAAGAAGCCCAGUAUGCACACCAACUACUCUGUCAAAUGUUAGAAAGGGCUGAUCAGGAUCUUUUGGGGCUUAACAACGAG